rnacentral:rRNA from 1 species
CCUACGGGAGGCAGCAGUGGGGAAUCUUGGACAAUGGGGGCAACCCUGAUCCAGCCAUGCCGCGUGUGUGAAGAAGGCCCUCGGGUUGUAAAGCACUUUCAGUGAGGAAGAACGCCUGGUGGUUAAUACCCAUCAGGAAAGACAUCACUCACAGAAGAAGCACCGGCUAACUCCGUGCCAGCAGCCGCGGUAAUACGGAGGGUGCGAGCGUUAAUCGGAAUUACUGGGCGUAAAGCGCGCGUAGGUGGCUUGAUAAGCCGGUUGUGAAAGCCCCGGGCUCAACCUGGGAACGGCAUCCGGAACUGUCAAGCUAGAGUGCAGGAGAGGAGGGUAGAAUUCCCGGUGUAGCGGUGAAAUGCGUAGAGAUCGGGAGGAAUACCAGUGGCGAAGGCGACCUUCUGGACUGACACUGACACUGAGGUGCGAAAGCGUGGGUAGCAAACAGGAUUAGAUACCCUUGUAGUC